UCUAGAAAGAAAAGCACUUUGAAGAUUUUGGACAGGUGUGGGUCCUCAGGUGGCAGUCUGAAGGGAGGGGGCCAUGGAGGUCAGGAAUCUAAAUAAUACAGAAAACUAGGAGGGAUGAAAGGAGGAUGUAAGCCAGAGAGAGAGAGAAAGCAGAAGGGCAAAGGCAAGCUCAGAGCCCCCCUCCCUUCCCUCACCCUCCACAACAGGAC
rnacentral:lncRNA from 1 species